UAGGACGCAUGCGGAAAACUACGAAGGGUAUGACAUUGGUGAGUCAGAAUUGUUGGAAUAUCUACGAAAUUAAUUCACAGGUAAGGAGCCCCAAUGCUCAAAUUUUACUUGCUAAGAAGCAAAAUUUGCUUCAAAUCCAACAUCUCAAAGAUUUUCAAGUGCCAGAUCAAACAAGAAACUGCCAUUUUCUCAAUCAACCAAAACAUCAGUGGUUGGUUCUCCCUUGUAUAGCUACCUUUGUCAUUGGGUUGUUGUAAUAUGUUUGUGUUGGACUAUAUGAAGUGCAUGAACCUCUUGGACACAUGCCACGCAAAAGAGACAUGUUUUAGUUAAAUUGUAUUGUUGAGAGUGUUUCAAGUAUGUAAAGUAUUCAUUGGUAUGCUUGCUUAUAAAUGUAAGGGCUUUGAUGUA